CUCAACAUAGUUGCCUUGACUUACCCCUUGUGAUGCAAAAAACAUGAGGACCUCAGAAUAUAGGAUCUCUUUCCCCUUCUCUUUCUUGAUGUAUAUGAAUUCAUGUUUUAUAAGUGUUUGGCAUUUAAUUAAUCAUUUUCUUAAUUAUUGUUUGAGCAUUAGUUUAUUUUCUUACCAACUGAAGUGGUGUAGCAGCUGUAGUAUCUUUCAGGUCAAUAUAAACAAUAUCAAAUUCAUAUAAUGCAUAGACCAAUAUUUUGUGCAUCUUUUGAGUGGAAGUCUAAGGUGUGCCACUACGUUGUGGGCACUGACUAAAUCCUCAAUUGAAAAAUAUCACUUGGGUGAGACUGGUGAUCCCCUUUACCUUCUCAACAUGUACAUAUUCCCCACAAGUGUUUUAUCCAUUUCCUUUGUACCUCUAAGUCCCAACUGUAACUCAAAGCCAGGAUUGCAAUCCAUUACACCUGCCCACCCCGUCUUUACCUUGGCUAAAAAGAAGUUGUGUUGCACAAAUGCAGAGUGGUUUCCUGAGAGCACAGAGCCAAGUCCUAGUGGGUCAUCAUGCAUUACAGUGAAUUUUCUGAGCCUAGUGCUCUAGUCAAUAAAAACACAUAAAAGAACCUUUUACCUCUCAUGGAAGUCCCUCCGACUCCCUCCAUAAAUCUCAUAACCCAACACCAAAUGGAGUCAAGAUGAGAAAUCUGUGACUGGUAGUUCCUUUUUUCCCCCUUGGCAGAAGAGACAGAAGGGUGUCCUCCUUGAUGUCCUGUUUCUCACCCUUUAUACUUAAAGUAGUGAAUGUCAAUGACUAUUUGGUAAGUAAUUUUAUUCAUAAGAAAUGAUCUAUGCUACCACAGAGUAGACUAAGAACACAUGCACCCACAUUAUUAGAAACAUGGGAAUUUCUUUCAGGUGUAAACACAUGAAAAGGUCUUUUAAAAAUAUACAUAGUUUGGAGUAUGUGCCCAGAACAUAGUGGGCCCUCAUUAUAUAUUUCUAAGUUAAAUAGGUGGGAUAGACAUUUGUGGAAGUAUCAGGGGAGGCCAGGCAGGAGGGUCACAAGUCUGAUCCCCACCUGGGCAAUUAAACAACUUAGUGAGACUUAGUCUCAAUAAAUAUAAAAAAGGGUUGGUGAUGUAGCUCAGUGCAAAAGCUUGAGGUUCAAUUCUUAGGACCAGAAAAAAAAAAGAACAAAUAGACAAUCAAAGGAGAGUCUUUACUUAGUUGUUGACAAGAUGAUGGAUUUAACUCUGCUUCCUUGAGGAUCUGAUGGUGUGGAUAGAAAUCAUCUUGGGAUUUGAGAAGCCAAGUGUUCUCACGCACACACGGUUCAUUUUGGUGUCUGCUCUGGAGCCCAUUUGCACACUUCGACAGUUUAGUGCUUCAGCGGUGGUGAAGACAAAGACCUUGAGCCCUUUUUGCAAGACUCAUUUCCUAUGAUGCUGUAACCUCUAACACAGCGUUCACAUUCCAAGAAAUGCUUAAUAUUUAACGUGCUGCUUAUUUCUCUAAUCACCCUUCCAUAUCAGAAUCUUCUGCUUUAUCAGAUAGGCCUCUUUAGCGAUACAGUUUAAUCCGAUCAUAGAGCAUCUGUCUUGGAUGACAUCGUCUUCAGUGCUGAUUCAGGAGUUUUCAACAAAUUCAAAUGUCCUUCCCUUGCCCAGGAAGGAAGAUGGGGAAAGAUUGCAAGAAAGCCAGAAGCCCUGCAUGGUGUUGUACAUUUAUUAUCCAGCCCUUCAAGCACUCUGAAAAAAUAAUGUCCCCAAUGUUGUCCAGUGGACCACAGUGAUAUGCCUGGAGAACGUCAGGAAGCACCUUGUUUCUCCACCUUUCCUUAUGAAAUGAUACCCUAGAAG
ensembl:lncRNA